CAUCUUGCAAGAAAGGGUUUCAAGUUUCAAUUGAAGAGAAGAGGAAGAAGCAGCGUGUCUGGGUAGAGCGCAGCUAUGCUCCAGUUUUAAUAGCUCCUUUUAAUCCUGUUAAAUGUAUAGAUGGCUGACAUGUGGCAAAAUUAAUUUUAAUGGCCGAGAUUAAAAGCUUGUAAUUAAGCAUAGAAAGGGUAACGACGAUUUCAUAAAAAGAGGAACGACGCGGUUCUUCUUCUUCUUUUAGUUGUUCCGUUCANNNNNNNNNNNNNNNGUUCCAUUAGAUAACAGUAAAACGCAGUAGUGAGUACUUUUCUAUAAGGAAUCAAUUUUGACCUUGAUUUUUUAACUCUUUGUCAAAAAUUAGAAAUCCACUAAAACUAACUAUACUUGUUACAUAUUCAUUCAUAAUCGAUUAUUAAUUUAUUGUAGCCUUCAUGUGAUGUUAAAGUGAGCUGAGGAAGUGAGCAAAGUGGAUUGGUUUGUCAUGCGAUUUAGAGACGAUGGCGAGAUUCGGUCAUGACAGCGGUUUCGAGGUGAUGUGUGGAAUGGA
rnacentral:lncRNA from 1 species